GGGAGGGAGGGAGAGGGGAUUCUUCUGACAAGCACAAUUUACAUUGCGAUCGCCCUGCGCUGCUAUUUACUUUGAGACCUGAUUAGUAUGGGUCGUCUACGGUCUCUUCCUCCCUCUCUUUUCAAGACCCACCCCCCCCGCAUCAGCACAUACAUCGACAGAGGAGGAUGCGUUGCGAUAGGCGGAAAAGGGGAAUUAAAAGGGGACGAUGUGGGCUUCCAGGGAAAAGUUACUGUGAAAUCUGAGGCUGGGAGCCGGCUGGAGAGGAGAAUCCUUCAUCAUUUCUGAGAUCAGAAAAAACCGCUUGAUUUUGUCCCGAAAUAAUGAAGAGAUUUUCAAUGAGUCCGUUGGCCAAGCCGUCCCUAUUGUAUAUUGCAUUGAUAAAAAGGAUGUUAUUGACUAUGCAACAGUAGGCUCCUUUCCUCUCUCCCCCUCUUUCCAAAUAAACUCCCGGUCCUGUCUCUUGGUCAGUGAAAAGGUGAAACGAAUAAGAUUAAAUCGGACAAAAAAGCAAGCUCGGUAUGUAUAUCAUCUAGAUUUUACUCCCCAGACUGUGAAGAAACAGAGCAAAAGAGGCAGAGCAAGGCACGGAGAGAGAGGGGGAGAGAGAGAGAGAGAGACAGAGACAGAGACACAGGCAGACAGAGACAGAAACCCUGCGAGGAGGUGGACGGACCCAGCCGCCGCACCGGGCUCCCCUCGGACCGGGCUCCCCGCAGCCGGCCCCGGCCCCACGGCCACCCCAGGCAACAUAUCAGUGAUGCACUGCAGUAUCACACCCCUCUCUGGAAUGCUAUUCCCUCAA